UACACUCCUACGGGAGGCAGCAGUGGGGAAUUUUGGACAAUGGGCGAAAGCCUGAUCCAGCCAUGCCGCGUGCAGGAUGAAGGCCUUCGGGUUGUAAACUGCUUUUGUACGGAACGAAACGGCCUUUUCUAAUAAAGAGGGCUAAUGACGGUACCGUAAGAAUAAGCACCGGCUAACUACGUGCCAGCAGCCGCGGUAAUACGUAGGGUGCAAGCGUUAAUCGGAAUUACUGGGCGUAAAGCGUGCGCAGGCGGUUAUGUAAGACAGUUGUGAAAUCCCCGGGCUCAACCUGGGAACUGCAUCUGUGACUGCAUAGCUAGAGUACGGUAGAGGGGGAUGGAAUUCCGCGUGUAGCAGUGAAAUGCGUAGAUAUGCGGAGGAACACCGAUGGCGAAGGCAAUCCCCUGGACCUGUACUGACGCUCAUGCACGAAAGCGUGGGGAGCAAACAGGAUUAGAUACCCCGGUAGUCC
rnacentral:rRNA from 1 species